CUGUUUUAUUUUGCUUUCAUUUCUGGUUCCUAGUGUGUAAAAAGCCAUCCUCAUCUAUGAAUAUUUGUUUUCCUUUGUUUUUUAAUUGUAUUUUAUUUUGGUGGGGAAGCUUUUAUUUUCUUACUUCCUGUUUUUGCGUUAUAUCCUGUGUGUUCCCGCUGCCCUCCUCAGUUCGCGCCAAGCUGCGCUGGGGAGAGGGUGUUUGUGGAGAAUCCGGAGCCCAGGAGCUGCUGUGUUUAAAAUGUUCUUGUUUUGAACAGG